AGAAUUGUUUUUCUUUCAAAAUUUUUACUUUUCGAGAAUAUUAAAAAUUUAUGCCAAGAGUUGGGGGAAUUAUUCAAUAUGAAGGUUCAGAUGGGAUGAAUUCUAGAGAGAAAGAAUAUCUUUCGAAGCUAAGAAGAAUCGUCCAGUUGGCAGCUGAUAAAACUGCGAAAUGGGAAAGGAAACUUGAGAAAGUUGCUGAAUCUUAUUCAAAGGUUCUUAUUGUUCGAUAUUGAAACACUUCAGAAUGAAUGAUUUCCGCGAGGAAACGGGGUAUUGGGAAAAUUCGGAGUCAAUGGCAAUACAUCAGCUUCCUUUCUUCAACGUAACCAUACAGUUCAACAUAUCUAUACAUAUCCACUAUAAAAUAUCACUCAAUAGCCCCACUCACCAAAAAUCACCUUCCUCGUAUAAUCGCGAUCCAAUGAACGUCUGCAUACGUCAAACAGAAAUUUGCGUCGCUUCGCGAGCUACGCAAUAAAGCUCGGGUAAAACAAGACGAGCAGGCUCGAUUACUUUCGUAUAACCAGAAACCGGUCUUCCGUAAACCUAGAACCGUCGUUUCGACGCGGAUCCGCGACUCCACGCCGCGCCGACGCCGUUCCGCGUCAGGACUCGCGAAAAUUCGCGAACCACCGCGAUAAAAGAGAGACGUCGAUGCGUAAGCGGCGCUAAAGCAAAUUAACGCUCGCACAGGUUGCGCGGCACACUUUGCCGUGUAGCGGACCGACUUUCUUCGUGACAAUAGGAAGUGUGCCGAGGGACAAGGGCCCUUCACAAUGGCGUAACGCGAAACGGUACGCGCCAGGCAGCUAAGUGCAUCAUGCUUUGACGAAGGCGCACCAGCCGCCAGCGUUUCUCAAAGGGACGCGAUCGCUCGUGCUUUCUUCGUGUCUUCGUGUUUCAAGAUUUCUUCGUCAGAAGUUAGGCUGCGUUUUAUAUUCUCGACGCUUCCAGUUCAAAUGGAACUGUGCACUUUAAACUUAUUAAUUUACGUAUCGGGGUGAUCACUAAAGUGGAACGAUCAGUAGUGAAAUUAUUACAGUAACGCUAGUGACUGAGUUUAUGGCAAAUAGCAAGCUCUAUAGACCAGGAGUAGUGUACUCCCCCAAUUAUGAUGUCUAAGACACGACCUACACCUAGUCAACCAACGUCUCAAUGACUUUCUUAAUAAUUAAUGUAUAAUCUAUUAUUAUAUAAACUACAAUAUAAAAUGAAACUCGUGCAGUCUAGAAGACGUUCCACCCUCUUGUACUGCGACACAGGGAUGAAAUAAUGGCAAAAAUUUUCUGCUAUCGUUCAAAGUUCUCAAACAACGUGUCGGUGCUCGAGACAUUUAUCUUGCAAGCUUGAUGGAAAAUGGUUUCGCCUUUGGAGAAGGAUGGCAGGUGGCGUCACGGGGGUUUGAGAGACGCUGAAGCCGGGUAUACAUCACCCGGAAGAGUGGUGGUGUUACCGAGGGAAGCUGGCCGGGCUGCUAGAGGAGGGCUCAGAGGGGUGUACCGGGGGGGCCACUUCUCUAUAGAAGCUCUCUUUUUUUGCUUCUUUCAUGCCGGCAGCACAAGUGGAGUCAAUGACUGCCGCGGGCCCAUUCAUGAAAUUUAUCGAGGUAAUCGGCCGGUUACGCUGGUACAAGAGGCCACGGGAACAUCGUACAUGCGUGCACGCGGCACGCGUCAUACGCCUCUCGAGUGCGCCGAAGCCGCCGCGAUUAGAGAUUAUGUUCUCUUUCAAACGACAUUUUCGUACGACGAAUGUAGAAUCGAAUUCGUAAGGAACUCCUAAGGAUGAAAUUACGAUAUCAAUUAAAUAAAUGUUACAAGUCUGAGGAUGACGAUUCAUAAAUACUUAGCAAUUCGACUAAUUUUUUCGGGUCAUUUUCAGGAAUUUUCAUUGGUUGUUAAACACUUUUCAUCUGAGAAUAUACUUGUUCAACACUUGAACUCUA